GACGAACGCUGGCGGCGUGCCUAAUACAUGCAAGUCGAACGCUUCUUUCCUCCCGAGUGCUUGCACUCAAUUGGAAAGAGGAGUGGCGGACGGGUGAGUAACACGUGGGUAACCUACCCAUCAGAGGGGGAUAACACUUGGAAACAGGUGCUAAUACCGCAUAACAGUUUAUGCCGCAUGGCAUAAGAGUGAAAGGCGCUUUCGGGUGUCGUUGAUGGAUGGACCCGCGGUGCAUUAGCUAGUUGGUGAGGUAACGGCUCACCAAGGCCACGAUGCAUAGCCGACCUGAGAGGGUGAUCGGCCACACUGGAACUGAGACACGGCCAAGACUCCUACGGGAGGCAGCAGUAGGGAAUCUUCGGCAAUGGACGAAAGUCUGACCGAGCAACGCCGCGUGAGUGAAGAAGGUUUUCGGAUCGUAAAACUCUGUUGUUAGAGAAGAACAAGGACGUUAGUAACUGAACGUCCCCUGACGGUAUCUAACCAGAAAGCCACGGCUAACUACGUG
rnacentral:rRNA from 1 species